ACUCCUACGGGAGGCAGCAGUGGGGAAUAUUGCACAAUGGGCGCAAGCCUGAUGCAGCCAUGCCGCGUGUAUGAAGAAGGCCUUCGGGUUGUAAAGUACUUUCAGCAGUGAGGAAGGCGGGUACGUUAAUAGCGUGCUUGUUUGACGUUAGCUGCAGAAGAAGCACCGGCUAACUCCGUGCCAGCAGCCGCGGUAAUACGGAGGGUGCGAGCGUUAAUCGGAAUUACUGGGCGUAAAGCGCAUGCAGGUGGUUUGUUAAGUCAGAUGUGAAAGCCCGGGGCUCAACCUCGGAAUUGCAUUUGAAACUGGCAGACUAGAGUACUGUAGGAGGGGGGUAGAAUUUGAGGUGUAGCGGUGAAAUGCGUAGAGAUGUAGAAGGAAGUACCGGUGGCGAAGGCCGGCCCCGUGGACAGAUACUGACACUCAGAUGACG
rnacentral:rRNA from 1 species